rnacentral:rRNA from 1 species
AUACGUAUGUCGCAAGCGUUAUCCGGAUUUAUUGGGCGUAAAGCGCGUCUAGGCGGCUUAGUAAGUCUGAUGUGAAAAUGCGGGGCUCAACCCCGUAUUGCGUUGGAAACUGCUAAACUAGAGUACUGGAGAGGUAGGCGGAACUACAAGUGUAGAGGUGAAAUUCGUAGAUAUUUGUAGGAAUGCCGAUGGGGAAGCCAGCCUACUGGACAGAUACUGACGCUAAAGCGCGAAAGCGUGGGUAGCAAACAGGAUUAGAUACCCUGGUAGUCCACGCCGUAAACGGUGAUUACUAGGUGUUGGGGGUCGAACCUCAGCGCCCAAGCUAACGCGAUAAGUAAUCCGCCUGGGGAGUACGUACGCAAGUAUGAAACUCAAAGGAAUUGACGGGG